UACCGAGGGUGCGAGCGUUAAUCGGAUUUACUGGGCGUAAAGCGUGCGUAGGCGGUUUUUUAAGUCGGAUGCGAGGUCCCCGAGCUUAAUUUGGGAAUUGCAUUCGAUACUGGGUAGCUAGAGUAUGGGAGAGGAAGGUAGAAUUCCAGGUGUAGCGGUGAAAUGCGUAGAGAUCUGGAGGAAUACCGAUGGCGAAGGCAGCCAACUGGCCUAAUACUGACGCUGAGGUACGAAAGCAUGGGGAGCAAACAGG
rnacentral:misc_RNA from 1 species